UACGGGGGGGGCAAGCGUUGUUCGGAAUUACUGGGCGUAAAGGCUCGUAGGCGGCCAACUAAGUCAGACGUGAAAUCCCUCGGCUUAACCGGGGAACUGCGUCUGAUACUGGAAGGCUUGAGGAUGGGAGAGGGAUGUAGAAUUCCAGGUGUAGCGGUGAAAUGCGUAGAUAUCUGGAGGAAUACCGGUGGCGAAGGCGGCAUCCUGGACCAUUACUGACGCUGAGGCGCGAAAGCUAGGGGAGACA
rnacentral:rRNA from 1 species